rnacentral:rRNA from 1 species
AUUGAACGCUGGCGGCAGGCCUAACACAUGCAAGUCGAGCGGAUGAAGGGAGCUUGCUCCUGGAUUCAGCGGCGGACGGGUGAGUAAUGCCUAGGAAUCUGCCUGGUAGUGGGGGAUAACGUCCGGAAACGGGCGCUAAUACCGCAUACGUCCUGAGGGAGAAAGUGGGGGAUCUUCGGACCUCACGCUAUCAGAUGAGCCUAGGUCGGAUUAGCUAGUUGGUGGGGUAAAGGCCUACCAAGGCGACGAUCCGUAACUGGUCUGAGAGGAUGAUCAGUCACACUGGAACUGAGACACGGUCCAGACUCCUAUGGGAGGCAGCAGUGGGGAAUAUUGGACAAUGGGCGAAAGCCUGAUCCAGCCAUGCCGCGUGUGUGAAGAAGGUCUUCGGAUUGUAAAGCACUUUAAGUUGGGAGGAAGGGCAGUAAGUUAAUACCUUGCUGUUUUGACGUUACCAACAGAAUAAGCGCCGGCUAACUUCGUG